UUGCUAUGUAUAUUUUGUAAAAGCAUUUUUAUGUGUGCUUUGACACAAUUAAAAACAGCUUUGAAAUUAAGUUCAUAGAUAAAUUGGGGCAAACACAGACUGUCAUGCCCCUGUUGGAAUCUGAUUACUAGGGGAGGUCGAGCAGCUGACAAGGAGUGCAAGUGUGGCUCCAGUGGCUAUGGAAGAAACUGGGGAGUCCAGCUGGGCCUUCAGAGGAAGACCCAGGGCCACCUCCUUUUCAUCCUAGGGCAUGCAGGGAGGAACGGAGAAGUGAGCAACCUGCUUCAUGCAGCACAGCAGAUUGCUGCGUAUCAGUGUUGCAGACACAGGGAGAGUGCAGGAUUGCAGGAGACGCUCUUUGAAGUAAUGCAUACCUCAUCAUCGCCCCCAGAUGAAAGAAGGUUGCUUUGUGAACUACCAAUCAGCAUUGUGAACCAACAAUGUUUUCCAGAUCCUAGGACUGUGAGAUCCAGGUGUCUUCUAAUUAAGAUUCACACUAUGAAUUGGCCAGUAAUAUAAAUUGAAAGAAUGAUUGAAUUUGCAACGAA
rnacentral:lncRNA from 1 species